rnacentral:rRNA from 1 species
GAUGAACGCUGGCGGCGUGCCUAAUACACGCAAGUCGAGCGAAUGGAUUAAGAGCUUGCUCUUAUGAAGUUAGCGGCGGACGGGUGAGUAACACGUGGGUAACCUGCCCAUAAGACUGGGAUAACUCCGGGAAACCGGGGCCAAUACCGGAUAACAUUUUGAACCGCGUGGUUCGAAAUUGAAAGGCGGCUUCGGCUGUCACUUAUGGAUGGACCCGCGUCGCAUUAGCUAGUUGGUGAGGUAACGGCUCACCAAGGCAACGAUGCGUAGCCGACCUGGGAGGGUGAUCGGCCACACUGGGACUGAGACACGGCCCAGACUCCUACGGGAGGCAGCAGUAGGGAAUCUUCCGCAAUGGACGAAAGUCUGACGGAGCAACGCCGCGUGAGUGAUGAAGGCUUUCGGGUCGUAAAACUCUGUUGUUAGGGAAGAACAAGUGCUAGUUGAAUAAGCUGGCACCUUGACGGUACCUAACCAGAAAGCCACGGCUAACUACGUGCCAGCAGCCGCAGUAA